AGAGUUUGAUCAUGGCUCAGAGCGAACGUUAGCGGCAGGCCUAACACAUGCAAGUCGCACGAGAAUCCGGUUUCGGCCGGUAGUCCGAAGGCGGACGGGUGAGUAACACGUGGAUAAUCUGCCAUUCGGCGGGGGACAACCAACCGCCAGGAUUGCUAAUACCGCAUUCGUCGGCGAGGUCUUCGGACCUUGCCGGGCCAGAUGGCCUCUUCAUGCCAGCUAUCACCGAAGGAUGAGUCCGCGUCCGAUCAGCUUGUUGGCGGGGUAAUGGCCAACCAAGGCUUAGACGGGUAGCUGGUCUGAGAGGAUGAUCAGCCACACUGGAACUGAGACACGGUCCGGACUCCUACGGGAGGCAGCCAAGGGGAAUAUUGGGCAAUGGGCGCAAGCCUGACCAAGCCAUGCCGCGUGAGUGAUGAAGGCCUUCGGGUCGUCCGGCUCUGUGGGGAGGGAAGCCACCGCCUGUGGCUAAUAUCCGCGGGUCUUGACGGUACCUCCUUAGCAAGCACCGGCUAACUCCGUGCCAGCAGCCGCGGUAAUACGGAGGGUGCCAACGUUGCUCGGAAUCAUUGGGCGUCCGGCGCACGUAGGCGGCCUGUUAAGUCGGGUGUGCCAUCCGUGGGCUCAACCAAGGAAGUGCAUUCGCCACUGGCAGGCUUGAAUAUGGAAGAGGGCGGAAUUCCGGGUGUAGAGGUGCCAUUCGUAGAUAUCGGGAGGAACACCAAAGGCGAAGGCGGCGACCUGGGCCAAUAUUGACGCUGAGGUGCGCCAGCGUGGGGAGCCAACAGGAUUAGAUACCAUGGUAGUCCGCGCCGUCCGCGAUGGAUGCUAGUGUUGGGGGUAUUGACCACCUCCGAAGCCGCCAAAACGCAUUAAGCAUCCGGCCUGGGGGAGUACGGCCGCAAGGCUCCGACUCCGAGGAUUGACGGG
rnacentral:rRNA from 1 species